UCAUUAUCACUCGCAUUCAUUAAUUACAACUAGAAAAAUUUUAAAAAAAAAUUAAAAGAAAAUUCCAAAUAAAAAUAAAGAAAAAUUAAGAAGAUUUUGUUGUUAGUGUUUUGAGUGCGUUCGCUGUUGCCCUUGGUCGUGAUAUAAAAAACAAAGUGAUGUGCUGUGCUACAUGCUAAAUAAUAAACUCAUCAAAAAACCUUGAAAAUACACAAGUUUUUUGUUAAUUGUAAUACUGAAAACGAAUUUAACGAAUGCUGCAAUUUAUAAUGAAUUAAAAUCUUUUCCUGUUUUCAUGGUUUAUAACACACAUACCAAUGAAGGUGCAUGCAACGCAACAAAUUCAUAAUCCUCUACGAUGUUGCAUGAAUAUUAAAUUUGUUAUAAACCAACGAAAAGAACAAUAUAUCUUUGAGCCAUAAGACUGGCUAAGACGACCUACCUACAAGCACGAUACGAACAUAUACAUAUUUUGAAUAAAAAAAAUAAAAACUCCCCUACUCCUUAAGCUGUCUAAUUAAUUUAAUAAAUUUAAACUAAACAACCAGAAAAUAAAAUAAAAAAAGUGAAUAUGAAUAGAAAGUAACCUGAGGAAACGAAACCUGUAGAGAACAAAGAGUGAUAUACAAAAACAACAAAAAUAAAAACAAACGCACAAACGGAAUUUGUUACAUACAUAGCCAAACCCUUCUUGUUGUUUUAAAUUUGUGACACCUUAAAACUUCACACGUCUCCGCAUAUACAUAUACAGAAUUAUAAAAACAAAACAUAAAUAUUUUAUAAUUAUGACAUCAUAUGCCACAUUAAGAGAUAAUGCCAACUCAACUGAAGAUGGCUUAACACCAGCAACAACACCUCUGUCACCACCAACUCUGGAAUUGGCAUCUUCCGCCAAUAAUUUGGCAAAUAAUGCAUGUAUGAAGAAAAUGGAUACACCUACGACACCAGGCUAUGAUCCAGAUUCGUUUUCGGAAAGUGAACGAGAAAAAAUGGAUACUACUCCGGAGAAUAUUAAAAAAAUUGAUGAUGUCAUUGAUGAAGAUGGUCAUCUUCGUCGAGAAAAUACUAAAACCACUACCGUCCAGCAAGAACAUCAUCAUUAUAAUAUUAAUAAUACACCGCCAUGUUUGUCACCCCGUUCUGAGCAGACUGCAAGCUUUGGUUUAGCUGCUGCGGUUGAUGACUCAAAUGCUAAGUUUUGUCUUGCCAAACCACUUUGCAAUAUUCCAAAAGAAAUGAUUGUUGGUAGUAAAAGCGUUAAUAAAGAAAUAACAACCAGUAGAGAUAACAAAAACGAUGACGAAGAAUUAAGUAGUGGAUCAGCACGCCAAGCAGCAACUACAACAAACGUAAAAACAAAAACGCCAGCUAACACAGCAGACAAUAGUAAUAGUGAAAAAGAGGCACACUUUUCAUACGAUCAUGGUGAUGGUGAUGAGUCAACAUCUUCGAAUGGUAAUACUGCAAUGACAAACUCUAUGAAACAAUCGUGCGCCUUUACUAUAGAUAAUUUCAAUGAUACCGAAUGUGAUGCUGCCGCCAAAGCCGCCAAAUAUAAAAGUAUGAUGGAACGUUUCCAAAGUCGCCAUCGACGCGGUGCCUCAAUGUCAAAAUUGGAAAAUGAGAAUGAAUCAUCGUCGUCGACGACGAAAGCACAGACUCCUACACGUCUAACAAGUUCACAAUCGUCAACACCAUUGACGUCGAGAUCAACAGCUCGUAAUUCAUUAGCCAACAAUGAUAACAAUGCAAAUUCAUUGGAGUCUGAAACUUCUGCCACACAAAAGGUAAAGUUGCGUGUACGUGAUCGUAGCACCUCACGUGUGCGUGAUGCCUCAAAACGUCACAGUUGGUCGCCACGUUCAAGUACAAAUGAAAGCAAUCUUCAAAGUCCACAAUCGGCCACAGCAUCAACAACAACUAAUUCAACAAUAUCUGGAGUGCGUAAAACUACAAAAACCGCUAACAAACCACCACCCAUUCAAGUACCAAAGGGUGCAUCAAAUCUUGUAGCAAAUCGUACACAAUUUACCCCUCGUUCUACAGCCAUGCAAUUGGCUUUAAAACAAGUGGACUUUAUGUGCCCUCAACCUCCAUUGGCCGACUUUAAACAUCUCAAUGCUGAUGCUGACGAUGUGAGCGAAGCUGGCACUUACACUCUAGAUGGUGAUAACUACACAGAAGAAGAAAAAGAUCUCAUGAACAUUGAUAAAAAUGGACAACCCAUAGUCGAAAAUACACGUAGAACAAAAAGUCGCCCAAACCAAUUGGACGCUGUAACACCGACACCUAGGCCACAGGGUUCUGUGGAAUCAAAACGUUCAAAUAACGUCUUAGAAGUUAAUUACUAUCACGAUUCGGAAGUUUUGGAGCCAAGACAAAGAACUACCACUUCGACGUCAGAUUUAAUAAUGGGUUCUCACCAAUCGGCAGGAGCCUAUUUGGAGAAAAUCAAAUCUCGAGUAUUGCGCAACAUGAACGCCACAAAACAAAUGGAUAUAAAGCAGGACGUUUUAAAAUCAUCUCACAACCAACCGGUUGAUGACGAAGAAGUUGACCCGGAUUUGGGUUGCUUUACAAGUGUUACAACAAGUGGCGUAUUGGCCAAGCAAAGAACACUAGAUGCUCGACCCAAAUUAUCACGGCAUAGUGGUUUGUCAACAUCUCAAAUUGAUAGUUCGGAGUAUGUAAGCAAUGAAACAAAAUUGAAAAGCUCUGGUACUCCAGCAUCCUUAGCUGGUGGCUUCACGGAUCAUCAAAAAGCCGAAUAUCGGUUGAAUGUGUUUACAAACCAAAAAGAUGCUUCACAAAAAUUUGCAGCUACUAGAAACCUUAUAGAAACUCCGCCGGAAACUCCAACUGGUCCACAACCUACAUCAAAGUUAAGUGAAGUUACAGUGUUGCAAACGGCCCAAACAAAGCACGAUUGGAUACAAGAAUGGGCACGCAAUGCACGUGCUCGAAGUCUAGCGAAUGACAGACAUGUUAGUGUAGGUAUACGGCAAGCCAAUCAGGAUAUGUUAAUGACUCGAUCAUACACUUGCGCCGAUACCGGAAACGAGUCCUUGACUGAUGACAGUCUUUACAGCGCUCACAGUAAACAGUUCAACGCCAAGUUGAAUCGUUCAUUAGCAGAGAGAUUCCGUUUGCCUGGAACAGGAGAAUGUGAUUACGCCAGUGACCCAUCUCUUACUACAUCGACUUCAUACUCAAAACCGCCUAAGAGCCCUACUAAGAUACCUUCGCCACUUCAUUCACUGGGCAGAACACGUAGUGCAAGUCGUACUAGAGCUUCUUUGCAGAAUAUGUUGCCGGCCGAUGAAGAAGACUACCUGCAACAAACCGCUGCAGCUAUAAAUAAUCUGCAACAAAGUCUUUCUCGUAAGAAUUCCCUCAAAUCUCCAUCGCAUUCAGCUUCACCUCGCGCUCAUUCAGCACGUUCACAUAUCAUAUAUUCUCCUGAGGGCACAGGUGCUGACUGUAGUCCACAGCAUAGUCUGAAUGCCCAACGUCAACGUCAAGCUGCCCAGAACUUAAUGACUAGCAGCAUAAACGAACAGCAGUUGCAAAUGCUGACUAGUGGCGAAUAUUUGUUGCGACAAAUGCGAAUGCGUAAAAAUUCGUUUGACGGCAAUCUAGCCGGCACUGGUUCACCCCAUAGAAGAGUCUUACAAGGUGGUGGACCUCCACAAGUACAAUCACCCACUACUCCCACAGCUCUAGAUGACCAAUCAUCGCCCUUGAGGAGAUCUAGUUCAUUUUCUGCUCGUGUCGCGGCCACUCAAAGAGCCGCACGACCCAACUUUCAAAAUCUCUAUACGCCACCAGCUGCUCGCCAUAGUUAUGGCCUCAGUGUGGCGCCACAACGCCAACAACAAUUACAAACGGGACAAGCCAUUAAGAAAUCGGCGAGUAGUAAUAAUUUUGGCCAUGCAUACAGUGAUUACGAUGACAAUUUACAGUAUUAUAUCAAUGACGAAGAUGAUCAGGAUGACAUGGGUGAAGAGUACUACUCGAGUGGUGCAGAGGACAAUGUCGAGCCCGAAUACUACAAUGACCAUCAGGAGCAGUCAGAAAUUGAGAAUAGUGUACCUCUAUCUAAUACUAGAUACAACAAAGCUUUAUUAAUGCGAAUUGAACGCAGCAAACAAAAGGUGGCAGGCAAACCACAAUCAGCUCCUCCAACGAAGCCAUCGGCAGCUUUGGCCGCUGCUGCUGCAGCUGGUGGAGUUAUGGCAUGUCCUAACACUCCCGAAUUGCCAAGGAGAAGCGUUAAAAGUGCAACCACCCGGUCCAGUGUCACAUCACAACGCCAGUCAAUGCCAAGAGAUACUAGUCUAAGCCGUCUGGCUCAGCAAGUGCCGAGCUCACUGGCCUCAGCCAAAAAACAACUUUUGCAAACAGCUGCCAACGUACCAUCCACUACGACAACACAGCGUUCCACGUCUAGUCAACGAGCCCAACCCCGUUAUCUGGAUAUAUCGAAAUAUAAACCCGCCCAAGGUAAUCACUUUUUACGUAAAAACGAUGCCAAAAGUACUCUUAAGCAACCAUCAAAUGAUAUUAUGAAACGUAGUCCUAGUAGUUCGUCAAUGGGUUUGUCGCGUACAGAUCCCUCGCGGACCAGUAAUCGUUCAGUUCGUUCAGCGACAUCUGUUAUGACCACUAGUGGUACUUCAUUGGGUGGUGGUGGUAGUGGUAGAACUUCGUCCGCUGUAAGAAGAGAUGCCUCCUUAAACAAACAAAAGGAAGCUGAAAUGGCCAUGUGGAAGCGAAGAUCUAAAUAUGAUCCCAUGAAAGCGGCCGCUGAAGAUCGUCGCAAAAAAGAGGAAGCCAAACGCGUGGUUCAGACCCAGCAAUUAGGUGUUGUGGGAAUGCCAUCUGAGAGACAAUCAAGAUCUCUAUACCGUCGUGGCCAAUUAUGACUAGAAGGGUUACUUGUAACAGAUCUUUAAAUAUAUAUACAUACAAAGAAUAAAACUAAACGAUUUAAAUAUAGAAUCAAAAAUACGCAUCUUUGUUGUGUGUAUUUCCUCCAUAGAUUUAAUGUAAUCUACUACUACCUACCACUACUCCACUCUAUACUAACAACAAUUGCAACAACGAACAAAAUGAUUAUAAAACGAAAUGAAAAAUGCUUUUAAAACGGUGAUUGUAACACUAAAUAUAAUUAUUGCAACAUUCGAUUUUAGUGUUUUUUAUUAAUUAGCCGUAUUUAUUAUUAAAUUUAAAAACAAAUAACACAAUACCAUUUAAACGAAAUUUUAAAUGGUAAAUGAAGUGCAAUUACGAUUAUUAUGAUUUCUCAUUUUGACGCCAUCUAUUAUCUAUUAUCCACCCACUGUUUACUCUCGUACGAAUAUCAAAUAAAACGAACGAUCUUUGGAACAACAAUGGUCAAUUGAAGAGACUGGAGAUUUUGACGAAGAUGAUUGUGUUUAAAUCAAAUUACUACAUUAUCUAUCGCUUAACAAAUUUCAGCUAGACGAUAAAAUUACAAAACAAAAAUGUUUAUUUGUUUUUAUUUUGUAUAGAGUCAAACAACGUGAUAUAGCUUACCUUAACAAACAAAGAACUUUAAUUAAAUUAAUUAAGAAUUUACAUUUAUUGAUCAACAAAUUAAGAAAAACAACAAACAAACAAACAAAAAAAAAAAAAACAUAAAACAUACCAAGAAAUCAUAAGAGUGCGAUCGUAUGGUUUUAUUUUAUCAUUUAUAUAUUGUUAUAAAAAAAUAAAAAUAUGUAUUCAAAUAACUAAUGGAAAUUGUCCAACAACUACAACUACUACUAAUUAUAAUUAUCAAUUAAAUAAUAGUAAUAAUAUAAUGUAAUGCAAGCGAUUAAGUAGUUCUAUAUACAUUUCUCCAUUUAAUAUUUGUAUCUGUAUGAUGUAUGAUUAUUUUAUUUUUUCGAAUGAGAAUGUACUAACAAAUAUUGAAUAUACUACUUAUAUUUUAUAUAAUUAUAUUUGAUUUUCCAAUACAAGUUGUUUUCAUAUAUAUUUUAUUUAUAUGAAUAUACUACAAAACCGCUAAAAAGAACAACUCUACAUACAUAUAUUUAGGGUUUCAGUUCAAUUCAAAAUAAAAAAUAUUUGCUUUAACUUACAUUUGAAACGUUUAGUAAUAAAUCAAAUAAAAUUAAUUACAAUUUAUUAAAUUAUUAUUAUUAUUAUAUUAGUUGUAGUAUAUUAAACAACAUUGUAUGGUUUAAUUGAUUAAUUAAUUAUAAAUUGCCGAAGCAAGUUAAACAUGAAAGCAGAAACUAUGUUGUGAAAUUAAAUUUAAUUUAGAAUUAUUAUUUUAUUUUACAUUAUAAAUAUGUAUGUGUAUAUUAAAGAAAUAUAAAAAUCUAUUUAAUAUUAAAUAUCAAAUAUAAUUGGUACUAAUACUCAAAAACACAAUAAAAAAAUUAAUUAUCUUAACUCCAUAUUAUAUCUAAAAAUUAAAUUAAAAAAAUAUAAUAAAAUAAAUUAAACUAAAAUUAUCAUAUAUGUAAUUUCAUAAAUAUGUUAGAUAUUUGUAAAUGUUUGCCUGAUGAAACAAACGAAAGAACAAUAUUGUAUACAUAUGUUAAAAUUUAGAAAAAAAAACAUGAAUUGUUUAUUUGUUUUAGUUUCAUUUGGAACAAUUAAAUUAAAACAUCAUUUAAUUAAUGACUGAGAUUGAAAAGGGAUCAUUGAUAUCGAUUGUAGUCGAAAAACAAACCGAAAUUUGGUAUUGAUACAUAUUAAAAUUUGAAAAAAAUCCAUGAAUAAUAUAGGAAACGAAUUGUAGAGAAUGCUUUUUUUCAAACUAUUAGCCGUAGUAUUAUUAAAUUUGGUUGUUUUCAAAUUAUGAACAAUAAAUUCUAAUAUAUCAUUAUUAAUUAAAAAAUAAAAUAAAACUUGUUUUUGAAAUUAAA